rnacentral:rRNA from 1 species
AUUGAACGCUGGCGGCAUGCUUUACACAUGCAAGUCGAACGGCAGCGGGGGCUUCGGCCUGCCGGCGAGUGGCGAACGGGUGAGUAAUGCAUCGGAGCGUGCCCAUGUCGUGGGGGAUAACGUAGCGAAAGCUACGCUAAUACCGCAUACGCCCUGAGGGGGAAAGCGGGGGAGUUCUUCGGAACCUCGCGCGAUUGGAGCGGCCGAUGUCGGAUUAGCUAGUAGGUGAGGUAAAGGCUCACCUAGGCGACGAUCCGUAGCGGGUCUGAGAGGAUGAUCCGCCACACUGGGACUGAGAUACGGCCCAGACUCCUACGGGAGGCAGCAGUGGGGAAUUUUGGACAAUGGGCGCAAGCCUGAUCCAGCCAUGCCGCGUGAGUGAAGAA